rnacentral:rRNA from 1 species
GAUGAACGCUGGCGGCGUGCCUAAUACAUGCAAGUCGAGCGAACAGACGAGGAGCUUGCUCCUCUGACGUUAGCGGCGGACGGGUGAGUAACACGUGGAUAACCUACCUAUAAGACUGGGAUAACUUCGGGAAACCGGAGCUAAUACCGGAUAAUAUAUUGAACCGCAUGGUUCAAUAGUGAAAGACGGUUUUGUUGUCACUUAUAGAUGGAUCCGCGCCGCAUUAGCUAGUUGGUAAGGUAACGGCUUACCAAGGCAACGAUGCGUAGCCGACCUGAGAGGAUGAUCGGCCACACUGGAACUGAGACACGGUCCAGACUCCUACGGGAGGCAGCAGUAGGGAAUCUUCCGCAAUGGGCGAAAGCCUGACGGAGCAACGCCGCGUGAGUGAUGAAGGUCUUCGGAUCGUAAAGCUCUGUUAUUAGGGAAGAACAAAUGUGUAAGUAACUAUGCACGUCUUGACGGUACCUAAUCAGAAAGCCACGGCUAACUACGUG